rnacentral:rRNA from 1 species
GACGUCUACGAGUUUGAUCCUGGCUCAGAACGAACGCUGGCGGCAGGCCUAACACAUGCAAGUCGAGCGAACCCUUCGGGGUUAGCGGCGGACGGGUUAGUAACGCGUGGGAAUAUACCCUUUGGUACGGAAUAGCCUCGGGAAACUGAGAGUAAUACCGUAUGUGCCCUUCGGGGGAAAGAUUUAUCGCCAAAGGAUUAGCCCGCGUUGGAUUAGGUAGUUGGUGGGGUAAUGGCCUACCAAGUCUACGAUCCAUAGCUGGUUUGAGAGGAUGAUCAGCAACACUGGGACUGAGACACGGCCCAGACUCCUACGGGAGGCAGCAGUGGGGAAUCUUAGACAAUGGGCGCAAGCCUGAUCUAGCCAUGCCGCGUGGACGAUGAAGGCCUUAGGGUUGUAAAGCUCUUUCAGGGGGGAAGAUAAUGACUGUACCCCCAGAAGAAGCCCCGGCUAACUCCGUG